rnacentral:rRNA from 1 species
GACGAACGCUGGCGGCGUGCCUAAUACAUGCAAGUUGAACGCUAAAGCUUUAACUGGUGCUUGCACCGACCUAAGUUUUUAGAGUAGCGGACGGGUGAGUAACACGUGGGUAACCUGCCCAUCAGAGGGGGAUAACACUUGGAAACAGGUGCUAAUACCGCAUAAUUCCUUUUACCGCAUGGUAAAAGGCUGAAAGGCGCUUCUGGUGUCACUGAUGGAUGGACCCGCGGUGCAUUAGCUAGUCGGUGGGGUAACGGCCUACCGAGGCGAUGAUGCAUAGCCGACCUGAGAGGGUGAUCGGCCACAUUGGGACUGAGACACGGCCCAAACUCCUACGGGAGGCAGCAGUAGGGAAUCUUCGGCAAUGGACGAAAGUCUGACCGAGCAACGCCGCGUGAGUGAAGAAGGUUUUCGGAUCGUAAAACUCUGUUGUCAGAGAAGAACAAGGAUAAGAGUGGAAAGUUUAUCCCUUGACGGUAUCUGACCAGAAAGCCACGGCUAACUACGUGCCAGCCGCCGCCGUAACAC